AAACAGGACCUUGCCCUGUCACUCAGGAUGGAGUUCAGUGGUCCAAUCAUGGCUCAUUGUAGCCUCAAACUCCCAGGCUCAAGCAGUCCUACCAUGUCAGCCUUCCCAGUAGCUGACAGAGUCUCACUCUGUCACCCAGGCUGGAGUGCAGUGGCACAAUCUUGGCUCAUUGUAGUGCAGACUUCCCAGGCUUAAGGGGUUCUCCCACCCCAGACUCCCAAGUAGCUGGAACUACGGGUCUCGCACUGUCACCCAGGCUGGAGUACAGUGGCACAACCUCUGCUCACUGCAGCCUCCACCUGCCAGGCUCAAGCAAUUCUCCUGCCUCAGCCUCCCGAGUAGCUGGGAUUACAGUUGAAGCAUAUGUCCUGUGAGCUUAGGGGUGCUACAGGUUGACCACUGCAGCAGUAAAGAUGACUCUGAAGAAUGGCAUGGGAUGGAUCCUUUCGAAUGCACUUGAGCAGCGGUCUCCAACCACAGGGCCACAGAGCUGGAGCUGGAUCUACCAUGAACGACUUCUGAAUCCAGGAAGAGAGACUGACUGGGCAACAUGUUAUUCAGGAGAUGGGGUCUCACCCUGUCACCCAGGCUUGAGUACAGUAGUGCUAUCACAGCUCGCUGCAGCCUUGAACUCCUGGGCUAAGGAUCCUCCUACCUGAGCCUCCUGAGUAGCUGGGACUGUAGGUCUCCCUCUGUUGUCCAAGGCUGGAGUGUAGUAGUGCUAUCACAGCUGACUGCAGCCUCAACCUUCCAGGCUGAAGCGAUCCUCCCAUCUCAACCUCCCACGUGGCUGAGACUAUAGGUGCUUGCCACUAUGCCCAACUAAUAUUUGGAAUUUUCCUAUACGUGGAUUCCAGAGGGGUGACAGUGAAAC
rnacentral:lncRNA from 1 species